GACGAACGCUGGCGGCGCGCUUAACACAUGCAAGUCGAGCGAGAACCGGUCCUUAGGGACCGGGGAAAGCGGCGAACGGGUGAGUAACACGUGAGUAAUCAACCCUCGGUACCGGGAUAGCCCGGGGAAACCCGGAUUAAUACCGGAUGGCCCAGCCGCUCUUCGGAGCGGCUGGCAAAGGUAGCUUCGGCCUUCGCCCGGGGACGAGCUCGCGGCGGAUUAGCUUGUUGGCGGGGUAACGGCGCACCAAGGCGACGAUCCGUAGCUGGUCGGAGAGGACGAUCAGCCACACUGGGACUGAGACACGGCCCAGACUCCUACGGGAGGCAGCAGUGGGGAAUCUUGCGCAAUGGGCGAAAGCCUGACGCAGCGACGCCGCGUGCGGGAAGAAGGCCUUCGGGUUGUAAACCGCUUUCAGAAGGGACGAAGCUACUCGGGUUAACAGCCCAGAGGGUGACGGUACCUCCAGAAGAAGCCCCGGCUAACUACGUGCCAGCCGCCGCGGUAAUAC
rnacentral:rRNA from 1 species